rnacentral:rRNA from 1 species
AGUGAACGCUGGCGGUAUGCCUAACACAUGCAAGUCGAACGGCAGCACAGUAAGAGCUUGCGCUUACGGGUGGCGAGUGGCGGACGUGUGAGGAAUACAUCGGAAUCUACUUUUUCGGGGAGGAUAACGUAGGGAAACUUACGCUAGUACCGCAUACGACCUACGGGUGAAAGCAGGAGAUCUUCGGACCUUGCGCGAUUGAAUGAGCCGAUGUCGGAUUAGCUAGGUGGCGGGGUAAAGGCCCACCAAGGCGACGAUCCGUAGCUGGUCUGAGAGGAUGAUCAGCCACACUGGAACUGAGACACGGUCCAGACUCCUACGGGAGGCAGCAGUGGGGAAUAUUGGACAAUGGGCGCAAGCCUGAUCCAGUCAUACCGCGUGGGUGACGAAGGCCUUCGGGUUGUAAAGCCCUUUUGUUGGGAAAGAAAAGCAGUAGGUUAAUACCCCGCUGUUCUGACGGUACCCAAAGAAUAAGCACCGGCUAACUUCGUG